rnacentral:rRNA from 1 species
GAUGAACGCUGGCGGCGUGCCUAAUACAUGCGAGUCGAGCGAACGGACGAGAAGCUUGCUUUUCUGAUGUUAGCGGCGGACGGGUGAGUAACACGUGGAUAACCUACCUAUAAGACUGGGAUAACUUCGGGAAACCGGAGCUAAUACCGGAUAAUAUUUUGAACCGCAUGGUUCAAAAGUGAAAGACGGUCUUGCUGUCACUUAUAGAUGGAUCCGCGCUGCAUUAGCUAGUUGGUAAGGUAACGGCUUACCAAGGCAACGAUGCAUAGCCGACCUGAGAGGGUGAUCGGCCACACUGGAAGUGAGCCACGGUCAAUACUCCUACGGGAGGCAGCAGUAGGGAAUCUUCCGCAAUGGGCGAAAGCCUGACGGAGCAACGCCGCGUCAGUGAUGACGGUCUUCGGAUCGUAAAACUCUGUUAUUAGGGAAGAACAUAUGUGUAAGUAACUGUGCACAUCUUGACGGUACCUAAUCAGAAAGCCACGGCUAACUACGUG